rnacentral:rRNA from 1 species
AUCGAACGCUGGCGGCAGGCCUAACACAUGCAAGUCGAACGAGUGGCGGACGGGUGAGUAAUGUAUGGGAAACUGCCUGAUGGAGGGGGAUAACUACUGGAAACGGUAGCUAAUACCGCAUACCAUCAGAUGUGCCCAGAUGGGCUUAGCUAGUUGGUGGGGGAACGGCUCACCACGGCGACGAUGCCUAGCUGGUCUGAGAGGGUGACCAGCCACACUGGAACUGAGACACGGACCAGACUCCUACGGGAGGCAGCAGUGGUGAAUAUUGCACAAUGGGCGCAAGCCUGAUGCAGCCAUGCCGCGUGUAUGAAGAAGGCCUUCGGGUUGUAAAGUACGUUCAGCGGAGAGGCGUUACCCGCAGAAUAAGCACCGGCUAACGCCGUGCCAGCAGCCGCGGUAAUAC